rnacentral:rRNA from 1 species
AGCUUGCUCUUAUGAAGUUAGCGGCGGACGGGUGAGUAACACGUGGGUAACCUGCCCAUAAGACUGGGAUAACUCCGGGAAACCGGGGCUAAUACCGGAUAACAUUUUGAACCGCAUGGUUCGAAAUUGAAAGGCGGCUUCGGCUGUCACUUAUGGAUGGACCCGCGUCGCAUUAGCUAGUUGGUGAGGUAACGGCUCACCAAGGCAACGAUGCGUAGCCGACCUGAGAGGGUGAUCGGCCACACUGGGACUGAGACACGGCCCAGACUCCUACGGGAGGCAGCAGUAGGGAAUCUUCCGCAAUGGACGAAAGUCUGACGGAGCAACGCCGCGUGAGUGAUGAAGGCUUUCGGGUCGUAAAACUCUGUUGUUAGGGAAGAACAAGUGCUAGUUGAAUAAGCUGGCACCUUGACGGUACCUAACCAGAAAGCCACGGCUAACUACGUGCCAGCAGCCGCGGUAAUAC